GACGAACGCUGGCGGCGUGCUUAACACAUGCAAGUCGAACGGAAAGGCCCUUCGGGGUACUCGAGUGGCGAACGGGUGAGUAGCACGUGGGUGAUCUGCCCUGCACUUUGGGAUAAGCCUGGGAAACUGGGUCUAAUACCGAAUAGGACCACGCGCUUCAUGGUGUGUGGUGGAAAGCUUUUGCGGUGUGGGAUGGGCCCGCGGCCUAUCAGCUUGUUGGUGGGGUAAUGGCCUACCAAGGCGACGACGGGUAGCCGGCCUGAGAGGGUGACCGGCCACACUGGGACUGAGAUACGGCCCAGACUCCUACGGGAGGCAGCAGUGGGGAAUAUUGCACAAUGGGCGCAAGCCUGAUGCAGCGACGCCGCGUGAGGGAUGACGGCCUUCGGGUUGUAAACCUCUUUCAAUAGGGACGAAGCGCAAGUGACGGUACCUAUAGAAGAAGCACCGGCCAACUACGUG
rnacentral:rRNA from 1 species